AGAAGCACCCAGGCGUCCACUCACGCCGGGAAGAUGGCCGAAGAAGAGAGAUAUUCGAGAGGCUUGGUCUGGAGGAUGAGUUCCUAUGAACCAGGUUCUGGAGACUGGAUCUGAAUGAAAUGGUUCAUCUGUUAGCAAGGAUUUGCAGAAUGUUCCUGAAUUAGUGAUUAUACAACUUUGGGGGAAGUAGGAGCUAAGCAACUAAGUUCCAUCUAGGCAUUGAUAUGAGGCACAGAACAUGGAAUUUACCGAGGAUCUGCCCAUGUGGAAUGGAAUAGUCCACCAACAUUCAACGUUGGACUUCAUUCUUGAAAACGCUUGAAAACAACCGUGACUUUGUAAAG